rnacentral:rRNA from 1 species
GAUGAACGCUGGCGGCGUGCCUAAUACAUGCAAGUCGAGCGAACAGACGAGGAGCUUGCUCCUCUGACGUUAGCGGCGGACGGGUGAGUAACACGUGGAUAACCUACCUAUAAGACUGGGAUAACUUCGGGAAACCGGAGCUAAUACCGGAUAAUAUAUUGAACCGCAUGGUUCAAUAGUGAAAGACGGUUUUGCUGUCACUUAUAGAUGGAUCCGCGCCGCAUUAGCUAGUUGGUAAGGUAACGGCUUACCAAGGCAACGAUGCGUAGCCGACCUGAGAGGGGGGUCGGCCACACUGGAACGGAGACACGGUCCAGACUCCUACGGGAGGCAGCAGUAGGGAAUCUUCCGCAAUGGGCGAAAGCCUGACGGAGCAACGCCGCGUGAGUGACGAAGGUCUUCGGAUCGUAAAACUCUGUUAUGAGGGAAGAACAAAUGUGUAAGUAACUAUGCACGUCUUGACGGUACCUAAUCAGAAAGCCACGGCUAACUACGUG